rnacentral:rRNA from 1 species
UACGUAGGGUGCAAGCGUUGUCCGGAAUUAUUGGGCGUAAAGAGCUCGUAGGCGGCUUGUCGCGUCGGCUGUGAAAACUCGGGGCUCAACCCCGAGCCUGCAGUCGAUACGGGCAGGCUAGAGUCCGGCAGGGGAGACUGGAAUUCCGGGUGUAGCGGUGGAAUGCGUAGAGAUCGGGAAGAACAUCAGUGGCGAAGGCGGUCUGCUGGGCCGUUGCUGACGCUGAGGCGCGACAGCGUGGGGAGCAAACAGG